AUUGAACGCUGGCGGCAUGCCUUACACAUGCAAGUCGAACGGCAGCACGGGUGCUUGCACCUGGUGGCGAGUGGCGAACGGGUGAGUAAUACAUCGGAACAUGUCCUGUAGUGGGGGAUAGCACGGCGAAAGCCGGAUUAAUACCGCAUACGAUCUACGGAUGACAGCGGGGGACCUUCGGGCCUCGCGCUAUAGGGUUGGCCGAUGGCUGAUUAGCUAGUUGGUGGGGUAAAGGCCUACCAAGGCGACGAUCAGUAGCUGGUCUGAGAGGACGACCAGCCACACUGGGACUGAGACACGGCCCAGACUCCUACGGGAGGCAGCAGUGGGGAAUUUUGGACAAUGGGCGAAAGCCUGAUCCAGCAAUGCCGCGUGUGUGAAGAAGGCCUUCGGGUUGUAAAGCACUUUUGUCCGGAAAGAAAUCCUUGGCCCUAAUACGGUCGGGGGAUGACGGUACCGGAAGAAUAAGCACCGGCUAACUACGUG
rnacentral:rRNA from 1 species